UUACUACUCCCUCCGUCCUGAAAUAUAAGGAAUUUUGGGUGGAUGUGGCACAUCCUAGUACUAUGAAUCUGGACAUACUCUCUAUCCAGAUUUAUAGUACUAGGAUGUGUCACAUCUAACCAAAAUCCCUUAUAUUUCGGGACGGAGGGAGUACUUA
rnacentral:pre_miRNA from 1 species